AUAAAAGUGAGUGUGCAAGACAUAUAUAUAUAUAUAUAUACAUAUAUAUAUAUACACAUAUAUACAUAUAUAUAUAUAUACUUGCACACUCACACAUAUGCACACGCGUAUAUAUAUAUAUAAUAUAUAUAUAUACAUGCAUAUAUAUUUAUGGAUAUAUAUAUGUGCGUGUUUGUGUGUGUGUGAAGGUGCGUGGCUUAGUGGUUAGGUCAUUUGGCUCACGAUAAUGCGGUCGAGAGUUCAAUUCCCAGUGAUGCAAUUGUGUCCUUGAGCAAGACACUUUAUUUCACAUUGCUCCAGUCCACUCUUCUGGCAAAAUGGGUUGUACCUGUAUUUUCAAAAGGCCAGACUUGUCACACUCUAUGUCACGCUGAAUCUCCCUGAGAACUACGUUAAGGGCACAUGUGUCCGUAGAGUGCUCAGCCUCUUGCACGUUAAUUUAUGCAUACAUAUUUAUUUAUAGAAGCCAUAGCCACACAUAAUAAAAAGGAAUACUCGUAUAAUGUCCCAAUGUAGACCUCAAUAAAAUGUAAGCACAACAGACCUGAUAUAAUGAUUUGGGGUAGAGAAGAGAUAUUGUGCACAGUUGUGGAAAUUAGCUGAAAAGCAGUGAAAUAGAGAACACCUAUGUUGAACUAUUGACAAAUCUGCAGUUCAGAUUUAUACCUGUAAAUAUUGUGGGUCUGGGAUAUAUAACACUAAUAUAUACAUACGUUAAUAUAUUCAUACAUAUUUAUUUAUAGAUAUGUGUGUAGAUGUAGUGUAUAUUUAGAUACAUAUAACAAGAAUAGAGAUUUAAAGAAUCAAAUAGUACUCUCCAUAUGCUCUUCGCCUGGUGCGUAUCUAUCACGAAAAUCCGUGGUUAAGGAUAGGAUACAACCUCAUCGUCGUUCUGAAAUUUCCUGAAUCGCAAUGAUGGAGAGUAUGGAGAGUACGGAGAGUACGGAGAGUCGACCACAUAUAAGACAUGGGGAGAAUUCGUGCAUAUUCCAUUUGUUAACAGCGUCGCUCAUGGAACUAAAAGAGACUGCGAAACAACUGCGAACAAAUGGAAUGAACACUUAUUCUCUCACGUGACAUCUCUUAGUUGAUCAUUGUAUAUUCAUACUAGCAGUAUCGCCCGGCGUUGCUCGGGUUUGUAAGGGAAAUAACUAUAUAAGCAUUUUUAGAGAUGUAAAGUAUAAUAGCCAUCUCAAUAUGGCUAACCACAAAAGGGGGGGGUGUUACUGUAGCUUUUUACGUUCUGAGAUUUAAUAAUACAUUUUUAGAGAGUUACUUCCCUUAUAUAAUAGCAAAAAAAAUGCAUUAAUACCCAGAAGGGCUCGAUAUGAAUCACGACUAUCAGAUACCCGCUUUUGGUUACACUGCACCGCAAAAUGUGGGAGUAGUUAGGAAUCUAAAUCGGAGGAGACAGACACACAACUUGACUUUUAUAUAUAAAGAUAUGUGUGUGUGUAUGUAUAUCAUUAUACAGUUUAUUUCAAGCUUUCUUGCCAAUAGAGAAAGUGCCGGUUUCUAACCUAGAUCCAAGGCUCCUUCAUUGGAAUUUCAACAUCAACAACAGGGUAUUUUUGUAUGUAUGUAUGUAUGUAUGUUUUAUGUAUAUUUUCUCAUGCAUAUAGGUACGUAUGAAGGCAUGCUCAUAUAUAUAUAUGAAUGAUAAACAUCUGGAAAGUUUUACAGAUUUUUACAGUUCCAGUGAUGGAUUGGAUCUGUAGUCUUCGAAUUAGCUUUCUCCUCUCUGGUUUUGAGAAGCCUAAUUCCUCAAGAUUGGUAUUUAGGCAGUGUGUUACCUAUAUAUCCCAGGGCCCCAAUAUUUACAGGUAGAAAUCUGAACUGCAGAUUCGUCAAUAGUUCAGCAUAUGUUUUCUCUUUUUCACUGAUCUUCAGCUUCCUGUUAACAUCCACUGGGCAACUAAUUUCCACAACUGUGUACAGUUUCCCUUCUCUAUCGCAAAUCCUUAUACCAGGUAUGUUGUGCUUACAUUUUAUUGAUGUAUCUACUGGGACAUUCCACAACUGCUUAUGAUGUGGCUGAUACCUUCAGUGUCUAUUCCACAAAGUCUGCAUCGGUUGUCACCUUUUACUAUUUUUCCUGCAUCUCUAUCCCUUUUGUGCACCAAGUACUAGGGUUGAUAUUUCCUGUUCCUGGAUUCCAAACGUAUACCCUUCAUAGAAAUCCGGCAAUUGGUCCAUGAUAAACUGCUUUGAUGAUCAAUGUUACUAUCAUCACGGAGCUUUUUACUAAAAUAUCCAUGCAUAGUCUUCUAUACUAACAUAUCCAUGAUGUAUGUAUGCAUGCAUGUAUAUAUAUAUAUAUAUAUAUAUAUAUAUAUAUAUAUAUAUAUGUAUAUAUGUAUAUAUGUAUAUAUGUAUAUAUAUGUAUAUAUGUAUAUAUAUAUAUAUAUAUAUAUAUAUAUAUAUAUAUAUAUAUAUAUAUAUAUAGUACGUUUAUAUAUUUGUUGUGCAAGAUUUUUUAUGUGAAGUCGUGUGUUGAAACAGAUACAAAAUGGCAGACGGUUAAUAAGGAGAGACACAAAUAAGAAAGAAGAAAACAAAGGACCACUGAUGCGGUCACAGGAGUGUGACGAAAGAACUCUGGCCGAAAUAAGAUUAAGAUUAAUGUAAUAAAUAAAUAACACUGAAGCAAAGUAACACCAAAUAUAUAGUGCGUGUGUUUUUAUUGGCUAAACUGGCAAAAUGACCAUUCCGAAAUAUAACAAUAUAUAUAUAUAUAUAUAUAUAUAUAUAUGUAUGUAUAUAUAUAUAUAUAUAUAUAUAUAUAUAUAUAUAUAUAUAUAUAUAUAUAUAUAGCUCCAUCUCAACACUUGUCAAUCGGUGUUGGUGUCUUUACUUAUCAGUCAUAUCAAAAACUUAGCGGUACGGCCAAAGUGUCCGAUAGAAUAAGUACCAGAUUAUUAAAAACAAUAUUCAAAUGGAUUUGUUCGGCUGAAGCCCUUCAACGCCGUGCCUCAGCAUGGCCGCAGCCGAAUGGCUGAAACAAUUAAAUGAUAUACCACCAAGUGAUUGCCCAGAAUUAGUUCUGCCGAACAAAACGUGUUUGGAGAUUUAUUUAGUCCAACGCACGCCCUUUUAAACUGAUGUAAACGUAGCAAUUCAUCAUGUAUUGAUGAAUAUAAUAUAUACCAGACAAAAUGUCGGGAUUCAUAUAAUAGAUGGAUAUUCUUAAAGAGAGGGAUUCUUCUAAUCACAAUCUCAUGACUGAGUUCUGCAAAAUAAUCCUUUCCACUAGGCACGUGGUCCGACAUUUUAUGAGAAACCAGUCGAUUACAUCGACCCCAGGGCUGAAAUGGUGCAUAUUUUAUCGACCCCGAAAGAAUGAAAGGCAAAGUCGACCGCGAUGGAAUUUAAGUUCUCUACGUAAAGACGGAAGAAAUGCCGAUAAGCAUUUUGUUCGGGCUAUCCAGAACGUAAAGUUCAGAACGUCAAGACGGAAGAAAAGCCGCUAAGCAUUUUGUCCGGCGUGCUAGCUAUUCUACCAGCUCGAUCAUUAUGGCCACAACGUCCAUUUUUUCAUACUUGCAUCGGCUGGAGCUUCUGCAGACUGAUUCCCUUCUUGUCAAUUCAGUUACAUAUAAUUAACUUUCAUAAAAUGCGCAAAUUAUAUUUCAACUUUCCUAAUUUCUAGAACAGAUAUAUGAUAUCUCGUUUUUGUAUUUGGUUUGCAAGAUUCUUUAUAGGAGUUCGUGUGUUGAAGCAUAGACUGUUCUGCCUGGGGAAAGUCAUUUUCUUUUUGUACCUUAUAGUGUAACAUACUCACCGGUAAAAUUUCCACUUAUUUCGUAUUUUUAUUUUCCUAAAAUUUUCGUUGCGUCUUGCAAUCUUUUCAAUAGACUCGACUCUGUCCGUUAUUUACACUGCGUUCCUUUUCGUUUGUUGAACGCAGUGUAAAUAACGGACAGAGUCAAGACUAUUGAAAAGGUUGCAAAACGCAACGAAAAUUUUAGGAAAAUAAAAAUAAGAAAUAAGUGGAAAUUUUACCGGUGAGUGUGUUAAAUUAUAAGGCACAAAAAGAAAAUGAAUCUCCCCAGACACAACAGAAUAUAUGAUAUUCAUAAGCCUUACUAUGAAAUUUAAAAAAGAAUUUUUAAAAAGUUCUUAUAUUUAGUUUACCUAUCAUCAUUUGAACCCGGUUAUAUUCUAUGCUUAAUGAGCUAAAAAUUGGUUCAUGAAGUCAACCACGCAAAAUAAUAUUGGAGAGACAAAUCAUACAAGCCACUAUUUUUGUUGUUGUUAUUUGUCAAUCCCAAUAUGAGCAGCUGAUUCAAUGCUGUGUGAAGGCCCUCCUGGGGGUAGAAAGGUCUUAAGGAGUCGGAUAAUUUAGUACAGUAGUUAUUUUACCCUCAGUUUUCUGAAGUUCUAAGCGUAUACGCGGCUAGGAAUUUCCGGAUGAAAUGGCUGUUGUUGAACGAAAUGGAAAUGAAUGAAAACGAAGUUUUAGUGACAGAUGAGGUAGAGAGAAAGAGAAAGGAGAAAGGGAGGAAAGGAAAUAAAGAGAGAGGGAGGGAGGAGAGAAAGAGAGGAAAAGGUAGAAGGGGGGAGAGAUAGAUAGAUAGAGAAGGAAGGAGUGAGAGGGUGGGACAGAACUAGCGAAUGCCUCUUCCUAAAUUUGAGAUGUAAAUAUACCAUAGCGAAUAAAUUAAGAAAUGGCUAACAUCUACGAAAGGGUUUGUCUUUGUUAAAUUGGAAAUAGUUUUAGCAAAAUGUAUCACUAUUAUUUUGUUGCUUUGAAAGAAUUACUGUAGCGUCGAAGAAAUAAUAUACAGGUAUUUCUUUUCGUCUCUUUAUAUUUUGAGUUCAAAUUCCUUCGAGUUGUACGAUGCCUUUUCUAUCCCUCAGGAAUUGGCAAAAUAUGUGUGUGUGUGUGUGUUGUGUGUGUUGUGUGUGUGUGUGUGUGUGUGUGUGUGUGUGUGUGCGCGCGUGUGUAUAGGCCAGCAGAGGUAAUAAAAUCAUGUAAGUGCACUUUCUGUUGGCUGUUGAAUGUUUUGGAAUGUUGAGGUUCUUGCAUUUACCUGAUGAAAACGGUUUUGUCUAAUGCUAUAAUGUGUCCAGCUCGUUGGGAACAGCUGUAGUGAAUUGACACAUUAUCCAUCUGUCGUUGUAUAUAUAUAUGUUGAUUCGCUAGCUUCUGCACGCAUUUUUUUCUCUCCUUGUUUCUUUCCGUGUUUCUUUUCUGUGUAUCUUUCUGUUGAAGAGCGUAGGCUCGAAACGUAAAAGACUUGUUUUAUUUAUAUUCCUGAGCGCCAUACUAAUACAAUUGUUUGUUUAUAUUCCACCUGCCUUCGUCUUUUGUUUAUUUUCAUAAAGCUUCCCGUUAUAUAUAUAUAUAUAUAUAUAUAUAUAUAUAUAUAUAUAUAUAUAUAUAUAUAAAUAUAUACAUAUAUAUAUAUAUAUAUAUAUGUAUGUAUGUAUGUAUGUAUGUAUGUAUGUAUGUAUGUAUGCAUGUAUGUAUAUAUACAUAUAUAUAUAUAUAUAUAGAAAGAGAGAGAAAGAUUCUUGGUGUGGAAUCGUGUGUUGAAACAGAUAUUGUUAUAUUUGGGGUUAUAUUUUACCAUGUUUGCGUGUUUGUAUACAUGCAAACUACAACAUUACUGUGGAGUUCUAUCAGUACAGAAUACACAAAUAAGAACUGCUGUGUUCCAGUAUGUCUUGAAAUCAUUUCUUCUUUUCCAUUCUCACCGACACCUUAAUAUACCUUUAAGGAACAACACAACUUCAUUAGAAAUAGCGUAAUUUGAAAAUAUAUACGAAAUCAUGAAAAAUAGAAAUUCAAAAUUACUCAAAGUUUAACUGAAACUAUUUUGCUCACAAGACAUCUGCAAAAAAAAAGAACCACUGUACAGGAAUGCAAGAAGAUCGUGGAACAAUUCUGACCAUUUUUGAUAAACUGAAGUUUGUAUAGGAAUAUAAAGAAUUAGAAAGAAAAAUAUACUUUAGGAUCUUGAAAGAUUAAAAGUAAUACUCCAGUAAGAUGUUUGGUAGACUUGUCAUCUUAGUUCAAUUCUGUAGCUUCGAAAUAAUAAAAGAUCCAGAGUAAAAAUGGCUUAUAAAAUAAGAAAAAUAAUCGACAUCCGUGGAAUGCUUCAUAUAAAGCCAGAUGUCAUCUGACAGUGUAUGCAUGCUCUGUCACAUCUAUCUAUCUAUCUAUCUAUCUAUCUAUCUAUCUAUCUAUCUAUCUAUCUAUCUAUCUAUCUAUCUAUCUAUCUAUACAUACAUACAUACAUACAUACACACAUACAUAUAUACUUACAUACAUACAUACAUAAAUAUAUAUAUACAUAAUACAUACAUACAUAUAUACAUAAUACAUAGAUGCAUACAUACAUACAUACAUACAUACAUACAUACAUACAUACAUACAUAUAUACAUACAUACAUACAUAUAUACAUACAUACAUACAUAUAUACAUACAUACAUACAUUCAAGAAGAGACCUUAAAAAAUUAUUUCGUUCUCAGUUCGUAAGUGAAACCUGGUCUUGCUCAACACAACAUGCAAGACACAGAUUAUGAAUAAAACAUUAAAAAAAUAAUAAAUAAAUUUAAAAAUAAAAAUUCUGGAAGUAGCUGCUGCUGCUGUUACUACUACUACUACUACUACUACUACUACUACGACUACUACUACUACCACCACAACCAACGCCACCACCAGCAGCACCACCACUACCAUCACCACCACCACCAGCACCACCACCAACUUCACACCAUCACCACCACGCCCACACCACUUCUAUCAUUACUACUACUACUACUACUACUACUACUACUACUACUACUACUACUACUACUACUACUACUGCUGCUGCUGCUGCUGCUGCUACUACUACUACUACAACAACUACUACUACUUCUACUACUACUACAACAUUAAACCAUGCAAUAUGUUGAAGUCGGCUAGCCAAUUAUUUAACCCAAACUUUCACCAACCCGAUUAGAAUCUUAGAAAAGAGACAUCGCCAUCAACAUCAUUUUUAUCAUCAUCACAAGAAUCAUUAUUACCAAUUUCUAAAGUUCUUCCUUUCCGCAAGACUUGCGUUGCAUCUCAGAGUGCGCCCUCUGGUUAUUGUGAUUUCUGCUUCUAUCAUAUCUAAUUAUCUGUAAGUUAUAAAGGAUGGAUGAUUUAUAUGGAUUUACAUUCUCUCAGAUAAGCAGCUAAAAAGCUGAAGGACCCUGGGUCUGUCGAGGAGACUCUGAGGGACCAUUUUCUGGAGGAGAUUCUAUGACGUGCUAAUUGACCCAUAGGUAUGUAUGUAUAUAAGUACAUAUGUAUGUAUGUCCUGAAUAUGGCUUUAAACUGCUUCCGGUAGUGGGGCCCAAGUUCGGAAGUUUCGGGAUUUUAUUGAGUGUAGGAUUACUUUUUUAUCACUAUUAUUCUCGGGUCUGUGAAGGCUCAUGGCUCAGUGGUUAGAGCGUAGAGAUUACGACCGUCAGGUUGUGAGUUCGAAUCCCGGACCGGGCUGCGUGUUGUGUUCCUGAGCAAGACACUUUAUUUCACAUUGCUCCAGUUAACUCAGCUGUAGAAAUGGGUUGCGACAUCACUGGUGCCAAGCUGUAUCGGCCCCUUUGCCUUCCCCUUGGAUAACAUCCGUGGUGUGGAGACGGGAGGCUGGUAUGCAUGGGCGACUGCUGUCCUUCCAUAAACAACCUUGCCCGGACUUGUUUGUACCUCGGAGGGUAACUUUCUAGGUGCAAUCCCAUGGUCAUUCAUGACCGAAGGGGGUCUUCUGAAUUCUAUUCCCAGGUCUAUCUGACCCGAAGUAGUAGCAACAUUUUUAGAAAACGUAAUAACAGAGUUUAUCUUGUAAAUUCCAAACUAGAGAACAAAAAAAAAACCGCAUAAAAUUAAUAAAAAUAAAAAAGAACGACAUGAAUUUCUGGAACAAUUUAUUUUUAUUUUUGUCAGCAAAAUUUGUUUAAAAAAAAUAAAUUACUGGCUAAAGAAAACUCUAAUCCUCCUCCUCCCCUACUCUUCAUAUGAUCCAUUACAUCAUUUAUCUGAUACGAUUAAUUACAAUUAUGUGAAUCAACAUAAACCUGUAUAAUCCCGAAGGCAUGCGAGUUAAUCAGAUGCCAUUUGUAGAGAAUACUGUUUUUUUUUUUCUCCAUACAGCUGAAGGAUUAAGAGCUACAGUUGAAGUUACAUGCUUAGAGAUUCGUGAGAUUAUUAUUAUUAUUAUUAUUAUUAUUAUUAUUAUUAUUAUUAUUAUUAUUAUUAUUAUUAUUAUUAUUAUUUGGUGAUUAAUUAAAAUUAACUAUUAACCUUUUAUUGACGAUGACACAAUCAAAGAGUGACAACACGUCAGCAACAACUACAGCUAAGACGACGACUUUCGACGACAAAAACAAUAGUCAAAUGCCAACCACUAAAUGACCGACUACAUAUGCUAGAAAUAGCAACUAAAUACACCACAAAUCACACACUAGUGUCAUUUGUACAUCAUAGAUGUACAACAUUAAUGGAGAAAAGCUGGAUGCUCAGAGUUGAAAUACUUUUUUCCAUAAUCCAGCUCGAUUACAGCUAAAUUUGGACUAAACAUUUAACAAUAUUAAAAAGGAAAGAAAUAUUCUGACUAGGCCAUAUUGCAAGGGAGGUAAUCUAGUCGAUUUAAAUGCCACUCGUAGUGAUCUGAUACUUUGUGUUAUCAAACACACCAUGCGGUAAAAUAUAAUCGAUUCUAGGAGAAUUUGAUCGAUAAAUUCGUCUAACUAAUGGAAUGCUGCAGGGUUUUGCUUAUGUUUAAAAACUUCGCUCAAUUGUUACACAAGCAAUUAAAAUAAACACGUUCUAGUGGUGUAUAAAAACAUAAUUAUUAAGAAACGCUAAUAAGAUCUCUUCAAUAAAAACAUUGGGGUAAAUGUUUCUUUCUUAUUUGAACUCCUCUGUGAAACAUUUCAGCUGAGUGUGCGGAAACUAAAACUUUUUAUUUUAGCAUGACUAAAUCGGCUUCUUAGAGACAUUGAAACCGGUAGCUCAUUUUGACGGAAAUGUAAAAACUUCCUUUUUUUGUUUCUAUGAUAAAUUUCUCUAAUAUUUUCUAUAUUUUGUUGUUUUAGUAUGAAUUUACUCGUGUAAAACCCCUUAACCUUAUCUCUCUUUUUAUAUAUAUGUGUAUAUGUAUACAUGCAUGCACAUAUACAUAUAUAUAUCUAUACACAUUCAUACACAUAUAUAUAUACACGUAUGUAUCUAUGCAUAUAUAUAUAUAUGUGCUUGUGUAUAUAUGUGUGUGUAUGUAUAUGUAUGUGCGUGUAUAUAUAUAUAUAUAUAGAGAGAGAGAGAGAGAGAUAGAGAGAGAGAGAACGAAACAGAAAAAGAGACACAGAGAAAGGGAGGGAGACAAGAGAGGCCCAGACAUGGUUGUGUUGUUAAAGUGUUCGCUUUGCAACCACGUGGCUUCCGGCUUAUCUCCAAUGCGUGCCAUAUUGGGCUAUUCUAAUUUGCUAUAGCCCCGGGACAACUGGUACUUUGUGAGUGAAUUUGCGUGACGGAAUCAGUGCAAAGCCAGUUGUAUGUGUGCCUCUGUACGUGUGUGUGUGUGCGUGUGUGUGUGUGUGGAAGGAGAGAAAAAGAGUGAGAUAAAUAGAUAUAAAUAUGUGUGUAUGUGUAUGUAUAAUAUGACUACCGCCACCAUCACUACCAUCAAAACACAAACAACACCAGCAGCCAUAACCGUCACAAAUUCCACCACCACCACCAUCACCACCACCACCACCACCACCACCACCACCACCACCACCUCCAGUACCACUCUCUCCAUCACACUUCUGAAAAUCCUUUUUGAGUCUUUUCCCACUACAUCCUUUGCUUUUAAAUUUCUUGUAAUUUUCAUUGUUUUUUUUUAAAUAUGUCAUGUUUAUGGGGCUUUUCGGGGGCGGGGAUUGAUAUGAGGUUUGCUUAUUUUUCUAACCAUAUUGAUUUUAACUAUGAUUUCUUCGGAAUUUAGAGUAGUUCUAAGAACUAGUGUUGCUCACAUGGGAACGACGUGUGCUAAUUAAAUCUCCAUUUUGUAUUUGAUCGUUUAAUCUACCAUUUGGUCCACCAUUUUAAAGGCAUUUCUUUUGAACUUUAUUCAGGAGUAUUCGUAAUCAUCAUCAGUACAUUCCUCUCUCUCACUCUCUUUCUCUCUCUCUCAGAUACACACACCUACACGUUAUGUGGGGUGCUGAAAAGAACCUGGCUUUAGGCAAAAGAAAAUACAGGGUGAAGCAGUUAAUUAUGAUUUUAUUCAACAUAUUUCUGUCUCAGAUUCACACACUUAUUGUAGCAGUCCUUCAGUUCUCAGUAAAAGAACUCGGAAGACUGGGCCUUCAACCAGGCCUUUCGUGACAACCCUUAAAGCCAGGACCUUUUCAGCACCCCCUCAUAUGAUUUUGCUUAACCAUAACGUUACAAAGUACCAGUUGUUACAGUUCCAUAUAUUGAUAUUUUGCAGCAUUAGUAAGUAAGGCAGCGGUGAUGACGUCUAAGUUGUUAGAUGUCCUCGAUUUCGGACUAUUAUGUAACUCAACAGAUCCAUAAAGAACACAAUAUUAAUUGAUAAAUAAACGACAAAAAUAUAUAAGGACACAGGAAAUGUGUCAAGGCCGACAGGAAGCGUCGAUGCUUCCUAGGGCUAAACAGCGGUGGUAUAAUUCCCUUACAGGACUGUCACGUAAAGUUGACAGUAUACAACCACUCGACAAAAGAAUAGGAAAUACGAUAUUACUUCACUUAUCUUACAACUGUUUCUGCCAUGGAGACCUGUGUACCCAGAGUCAAGUGCCGUUGCGACAGAAUAGAUAAUGUUUUAUAGGAUAUAUGAUUUAAGUCAGUCGCGGGUAAACUGUGGCCCGCGGGACAUUGUGAAUGGCACGUCUCACAAAACAUGCUUUGAUUUUUUUUUUUUAAUAAUGCGGCCUGCCUGAUGAUGAACCAUGUUUCAUGUGGUUCAUUUCUCGGAAAAGGUGUCCAUGUCUGAUUUAAGUGGAUGCAGUAUAGCUAAAUGGUUAAAAUGUUUGUUUUGCAAUUAUGAGGUUCCGGGUUCAAUCUCACUGUGGGAUCUUAGAUAAAUGUCUUAGAGUCUUAGAAUUGCCUGGGUCCGAACUAGGUGCAAUGAAUGAAAAUAUGUAGACGGAAACUGAACAGAAGCCCUUCAGAUAGAUUGUGCAUGAAAUUGAAACGGGCGCCUGGUUCCAUAUUAUUUCGUGCUGAUCGAGUGAGUAUUCUACAUGUCUGUGGAAUACUCAACCACUUACAUGCUAAUUCAAUGAACAGAGUCUUCUGUUGAUCGAACAGCUGCAUCCUCCCUCGUCGUCGAAACCACCAGAGAUCCAUCUAUUUUUCUCGCAUAAUUUUGACAAAACGGGUCGCUCUCAUUGCUGGAAUAUCUGAUCCUAUUAUACGGCUACUCAUUCAGAUCUGUCCUGUGUUUUAGACAACAUCACCAUAAACAACAACAACAACAGCAACAUAUAACUGAUGAUAUAACAAGAAUCGUCUGCAUACAACUACGAAUACAUACAUUGCAACGCACAAUGUCGUUUGUAUAAGCUGUUAUUUAGAUGCCAUAUUCUGAGAACUGACCUUUAAAGUGGGAGAAGGAUUAAGUCGGUAAUACUAUUUCAUAAGCUUUUGAUUCGUCAGUUGUUAAAUGUUAUAUUAUGGUUUAUCUUUCCUAUUCUUCUUUCAGACGUUUAACUAACACAUUCUCAUGUAUUUUUGUUUUCAUUUUUAUAUCCUCCACCAUAUCCCCGGCCAACUGGUUGUUUGGCAGUAUUGUAAAAUCAUCAGACAGCAUGCUUUAAGUUCUAUGUUCGACCCACAGCGAGGUCAACAUCUUACUUCAUCCCCGUGGUAUUAAUUAAGCCCUCCAUCAAAUUUAAGGCGUGCGCCUAUAUUGCGGCCAGCUGGCGGAAACUUUAGCAUGCCGGACGAAAUGCGUAGCCGUAUUUCGUCUGUCGUUACGUUCCGAGUUCAAAUUCCGCCGAAGUCGACUUUGCCUUUCAUCCUUUCGGGGUCGAUAAAUUAAGUACCGGUUACACACUGGGGUCGAUGUAAUCGACUUAAUCCGUUUGUCUGUCCUUGUUUGUCCUCUCUGUGUUUAACCCCUUGUGGGCAAUAAAGAAAUAAAUAUUAGAAACAAUUAUGAGGGCGGUGGAUGCCUAGAGUUUUUAGUGGAUCAGAUAAGAUGCAGAAAAGUAUUUGCUCCAGCUCUUUACAUUUUGAGUUCAAAUCCCGCCGAAGUCAACGCAGCCAUUUAUACUUUGGAGAUCAAUAUACUAAAACAACACUCAAGUAAUUGAGAUCAUGUUAUCGAUUUCCUCCUUUCCACUAUCAAAUAGCUGGUAUUGUGCAUCCUCAGCGGGGUUUCGACUCAGAACUUAGAACACAAAAAGAAAUACUGCGGGGCUUUCUUAGUCGCUAAAACUGCGGACAAAAUGCCUUGCGGUAUUUGUUUCAAAUUUUUACAUUCAGAGAUCAAAUUCUGCCGAAGUCAACUUUGCCUUUCAUCCUUUCGGGGUCGAUAAAUUAAGUACCAGUUUCGUACUGGGGUCGACUUAAUCGACUGGCCUCCUCCCCCAAAAUUUCGGGCCUUGUGCCUGUAGUAGAAAAGAAUAAAUUAAGCAACAGUUGUGUACUGUGGUCGAUGUGAUCGACUCUAUCCCUCACCCAAAAUUUGAGGCCUUGUGCCUAUAAUAGAAAGGAUUAUUAUUAUUAUUAUUAUUAUUAUUAUUAUUAUUAUUAUUAUUAUUAUUAUUAUUAUUAUUAUUAUUAUUAUUAUUAUUAUUAUUAUUAUUAUUAUUAUUAUUAUUAUUAUUAUUAUUAUUAUUAUCAUUAUUAUUAUUAAGGUGGUGAGCUGGUAAGAUCGUAAGCACGCCGGACAAAAUGCAUUUCAUCCGGUUUCACAUUCUGAGUUCGAAUUCUGCCGAGUUCGACUUUACCUUUCAUCCCGCCGAGGGGUUGAACACUGGGGUCGACGUAAUCGACCAGCUUCCCUUCUCAAAAAAACUUCAAGCUGACAUACCGAUACUGGUAUAAGUACUCGGCUUGCAAAAUAAUAAGUCCUGGGGUCGAUUUGCUCAACACUAAAGGCGGUGCUCCAGGAUGGCCGCAGUCACAUGACUAAAACAAAUAAAAGAAUAAAAGAAUAAAAGAAUAUAUCAUUCACCCGUUUCCAUCAUUUUCCUUCACACUGCCUUUCACCCAAUUUGCUUAUCUAUACUUCAUCUUCAAACCUUCCCUUUUUUUGCUUGUUUGUUUACGCAUAGCAUAUUAACAUUCUAUUUCAUGCUACUUUCUUUUAUAAUAGAGACUUUCCCAAUAUCAUUGUCUUCGCAUGCAUUUUAGUUUCAGUCUUACACAUUCUUUUCUUUGUUUAAGUUCAUUCUCACGUUCAUGCGAGCAUGAAGGAAAUCCAGACGUUUAAUAAAUUAACAAAUUUUAUUUAUAACAUACGUUCAUUAUACCCUAGCAAUUGUUUGGUCCAAGCUCAGACCGGAUAAACCAGUUCUAUUAUGCAAGCCAUUCCAACUGUAACGGCUUUGUCUUUUAGCAUAUCAUGAACUAUAUUGACAGACGUGUACUUACAUUUUUAAACGGUUUGAUGUGCAAUUUAAGAGAGAAUCUGUUGCUAUUACUUGUGGUUUGAGCAAUCAUUUAGAGGUUAGUGUCUAUCUUUGCUGUACACGUGUAUGAGCGCGCGUAUAUGCGUUCGUGUGUAUACAUUAGUUUAUGAGAGUGCAUCAGUGGAUAGUGUGUGUAUAUAUAUAUAUAUAUAUAUAUAUAUAUAGAUAGAUAUAUAUAUAUACACAUGCGUAUGAGAUGAUGAUGUAGAUGCUCAUAUCUAUCUAUCUAUCUAUCUAUCUAUCUAUCUAUCUAUCUAUCUCUCUCUCUCUCUCUCUCUCUCUCUCUCUCUCUCUCUAUAUAUAUAUAUAUAUAUAUAUAUAUAUAUAUAUAUAUAUAUAUAUAAAACUGUCUGUCUGCCUGCCUGUCUGCUUGUCUGUUUGUUUGUCUGUCUGUCUUCCUUUUUUUCUUUCUUUCUUGUUUUCUAUACAUAUAAUACACAUAAAUAUACAUAUGACGUAUGACUUCGUAUUUCCAUCGGGAACACCAGCUUAUCUUCUUACUAGGAACUUCCCAACCAUAAUGUUUGUAUUAUUACCUUAUUUUUUUUUUGUAAUUGCUAGCAUCUCACGACAUAGUAUAUAUGUUGUAUAAUAUGCACGUGAUUAGUUUUGUAUAUGUUUACUGCUGUGUAUGUUUGUAUGAAUGCGAUUUUGUGUGAUUACAGUGUGUGAAAUUAUGUUUGCAUGUUCGACGAUAUUACUAUGGAAAUUUUCUCAGAUAUUACUCAAUAAUUAAAUCUUCUAUUCUUUGUGGCGUUUAGUGAUACAUGAUCAUCAACAGGUAGAAUAACUUGUAUAUUAUCUGUCUCAAUAUCAGAAUUAUCUAUGGAUGCAAAACAAUAUCAUUCAACAUUGCAUUGCAAUAUAUAUUAUAACAAUAUACAAACGGGUAGUAGAUUGGCACAGGAACAGACACAAAGUGCUCUACAGCACUUAGCUUCGUCGCUUUAAGUUCUGAGUUUAAAUCCUAAUGGGUCUACUUUGUCUUACAUCCAACUUAAAAUACAACUCAAUUAUCAGUCAGUGUAAUAGACUAUACUACUACGCAACAUAACCUGAGAAAAUACGAGUUUUCGCUGAAGUCAUGGCCUUCGUACUAAGUUCAGUUUUUUAAUAUGAGUUGAGUAGACCAACCCAUACUUUAAAAUUCAUAAUUGAAGAACUGGUCAUCAGUAUACAUUUUCAGUUAGACUAAAAUUUCUUAAGAAUUGGAAGCAUAAUAGCUCAUGAAGCAUCGCGUAAUUCAAAACGGUGCCUCUAAAACAUUUCGGAAUAUCAGUCAUCUCUUUUGAAAUGAUGUUAUUUAAAUGUCAGUCCUAAUUCAAAAUAUUCAUUAUCGUAUCAUAUAAACAGAAACAGGCCUCUAUUUUGAUGUUGUUUUAUGAUACAAAAUAUGCUUGAAAUUUCUCGUAAUAAAAACUCAUACCAGAUUAUGCUAUAUUGUUUGUUAUACAAUUGAAAUUAAAGACAUUUACAUUGAGACUUUCACGUGUGAAACUAUUUGUAGUAGUGCCUGAUGUUUAUUGUACAUAAAACAGUUUGCUUCUCAUCAAAAAACUAGACUGGGACCGUUGUGUCGUAGGAGUGUGUAAUGGUUGCACUGGUUAUUACAGAAAACUCUUCUAAGAUUGAACAACUAUUGCGUCUACAGUGUCAUUCAAGUUUCGCUAUUAUAUACGAUGGCUCCUAAAUACAGUUAUUUCAUUUCUAAACUGAUUAUCUUUCAAAGUUCACUGCUGAUGCCUCUUAUAUUUUGAGUACCACAUACAGAGGCAAAGAAUAAUAUUUUAUGCAGUCAAACGAUCUGCAAGGAAUAGCCGAAAAGACUACCUUAAAGUUGAGUGUACGAUUUUAAAAUGGAUGGACACGUUGCAUAAUGCAACAUUGUAUUCAUUACCGAGUGCAAAUUGGUGCAUUGUGUGUCGUGUGUUUAUGUCAUUGUGUAUGAAUUGAGGCAAAUGUGGAUUUCUUAUGUAUAUAUGUGUAUAUAUAUAUAUAAAACAAUACCUCUUUUUUGGUAUUUCGUUUUGGGAUUUGGUUUGCAAGAUUCUUUGUAUGAGUUCGUGUGUUGAAGCAUAUUCUGUUGUUUCUGGGGAGAGUCAUUUUCUUUUUGUGUCUUAUAAUGAAACACACUCACCAGUAAAAUUUCCAUUUAUUACUUAUUUUUACCUAUUUAUCUACAUCUAUGUUUAUAUAUAUAUAUAUAUAUAUAUAUAUAUAUAUAUAUCUAUUUAUCUAUCUAUCUAUCUAUCUAUCUAUCUAUCUAUCUAUCUAUCUAUCUAUCUAUCUAUCUAUCUAUCUAUCUAUCUAUCUAUCUAUCUAUCUAUGCAUGUAUGUAUAUAUGCAUCGGUGUGUGUGUGUGUUUGCAUGCGUUUCUAGCAUAAAAGUGUAGAUUAGUGAAUGAAUGAAAGUGGGGGGUCAUUUACAUGUUUAAGGAUACAGGUUUGCAAUUACUAAAGAACACGCACGACUCCUGUUAACAUUUGCUUAACGACAUAUAAGGAAGAAUAUUUGAAUGCUGAACGAUCAUAGCUGGACUGCCAUUAAUUUCUUGCAUUUAUUUUCUAAAUAUGAAUGCUGACCAAGGGUUAAAUAACAACAGCAACAGCAACGUCACGUGGUUUUACGUUAUCUUAAACCAUGGUCUAAGUGAGCUAAUGUGAUUUAAGAGACAUAGAAUAAGCAGAAAUAUAUACAUUUUUAUCUGGUCAAAUUUAAGUAGAUUUAGACAGUGGUCUUUUAUCUUGGAAUCAGAGAUUAAAGAAGAAAGAACCGAGGAAUUUCUCCGAGUUUGGGGAUAUUGGAUCUUCAGUUGAGUCAAAUUAGUGAAUGUAAAUUUCUAUCAAAGAACAUACACAUGUAAAUUCGCUCUCUCUUCUGAUCUAUCUAUCUAUCUAUCUAUCUAUCUAUCUAUCUAUCUAUCUAUCUAUCUAUCUAUCUAUCUAUCUAUCUAUCUAUCUAUCUAUCUAUCUAUCUAUCUAUCUAUCUAUCUAUCUAUCUAUCUAUCUAUCUAUCUAUCUAUCUAUCUAUCUAUCUAUCUGUCUGUCUGUCUGUCUGUCUGUCUGUCUGUCUGUCUGUCUGUCUGUCUGUCUGUCUGUCUGUCUGUCUGUCUGAUUCUCUUUUGGAAUCUAGAGUAUCAAAUAAGACUGUAAAUAAUGCCACGUAAAUACGUGGUUGAAAAACCCAUUUGGAUAGAGAAUAUUGACGGUUGUCUGUGGGACACGAACCUACGUCACCUGUAGACUUGACAGGGAUCUUACCAUUGUACCAAAGAAAUCUUUCGAAUUCCUCUAACCGUUUUAGAAAUUUUAUUCUUCUCAGCAAGAAUUCUAUUUUGUUGACUCAUAAGAAUUUUAUAAUCUUUCGAGAGAACGUGAAAUGACUCUUUUUUGAAUACCAAGGCUUUGAGGUGUAUAGAUAUUGGGCUAAAGAACCCUUUUGGAUAGAUUUAUAGCAUUAUGUGAGUCCCAAGAUUAAGAAAAAAACAUUUCACAUACUCUCGAAAGGUUAUACAAUUCUUAUGACGUCAACAAUAUAUUUACAUAUACAUGUGGUGUAUCCAUAUAUGAAUACACAAAUACAUACACACACACAUAUAUAUAUAUAUAUACACGGCUGUGUCUGCAUAACGUAUGCGUGUAUGCAUGUCGAUGUGCAUAUAUGUAUGUAUAAACAUAUAUGCAUGUAUGCAAAUAUUUGCAUGUGCAUAUCAUAUAUGAAUUACAUGCACUCUGCCUGCCUGCCUUUCUCUGUCUUUCUGUAUAUAUGUAUGUAUGUAUGUAUGUAUGUAUGUGUGUAUGUACAUAUAUAUAUAUAUAUAUAUAUAAAAUAUAUAUAUAUAUAUAUAUAUAUAUAUAUAUAUAUAUAUAUAUAUAUAAUAUAUAUAAUAUGCAUGAAUAUAUAUAUAUAUAUAUAUAUAUAUAUAUAUAUAUACGUAUAUAUAUUCAUGCAUAUCAUAUUAUGAUAUUAUGAAAUAUUUUCGAAAAUAUUGCAUCACUGCUAAGAAUAGAACUUUAACAUUCCGCCACAACAAUAUAUUAUCCUAUCUCUCCUCUUAAAUAUAUAUAAGUAUAUACAUAUAAAUAAGUAUAUAUAUAUAUAUAUAUAUAUAUAUAUAUAUAUAUAUAUAUAUAUAUAUAUACCACACACACACACGCAUACUUAUAAAUAUAGAUAGAAUUCCCAAAAGUACACACAUGUCCUUAUCUUCAAAGUUUCGAAUUGGUUGAUUUUCGAGCAGUUUGACAGAUAUGAUAUUGGUCUGAAUGUUAAGUUUGGUUGGCAUUGUCUGUUCCAAGAUUAGCAGUUCUAUGACUUAGCUGCAUGGUUUUAGAGAUUUCACAGAGAUUAGAAGUUCUGCGCAUGUUUCACUGUAUCAUCUAUUUAUGUGUGAAUGCACCCAUACUCAAAAUAAUACAAUACUUAUAUCUUAAAAGAAAUGAAGAAACACCGUAAAUAAAAUUAAUCUAUGUAUGUAUGUAUGUAUGUAUGUAUGUAUGUAUGUAUGCAUGCUGUGGUGUGUAUGUAUAUAUCUAUGUAUGCAUGUAUGUAUAUAUGUAUGUAUGUAUGUAUGUAUGAAUGUAUGCAUGUAUGUAUGCAUGCUGUGGUGUGUAUGUAUGUAUGUUUGUAUGUAUGUAUAUAUAUAUGUGUAUAUAUAUGCUUAUAUAUAUAUAUAUAUAAAUAAAUAUGUAUGUAUGUAUAUAUAUAUAUGUAUUUAUACAUAUAUGUAUCAGUAAGUAGAUAUAUGCAUGUUUAUCCAGAGGUAUAUCUAUGUUUAAUAUAUAAGAAUAAUUAUAUCUAUCACGACACAUAUACAAGCAUAUGAUCUAUGUAUGUUUGUAUGUAUGUAUGUAUGCAUAUAUGUAUGUAUGUAUGUAUGUAUGUAUGUAUGUAUGUAUGCAUGCAUGCAUGCAUGUAUGUAUGCAUGUAUAUAUCUAUGUAUGUAUGUAUGUAUGCAUAUAUGUAUGUAUGUAUGUAUGUAUGUAUCUAUCUAUGUAUCUAUCUAUGUCUCUCUCUCUUAUUCUCUCUCUCUCUCUCUCUCUCUCUCUCUCUCUAUAUAUAUAUAUAUAUAUAUAUAUAUAUAUAUAUAUAUAGAUAGAUAGAUAUAUCAUCAGUGUGUCAUAUGUGAAGGCUUAAAAUUGCACCAGGCCUUAUAUUCCGCAUGCGCUCUUGCUUUUCUGCUGUGAAAAGAAAUAGAAUUUUCUCAGAACGUUCUGAGACGUUAGCAAAAAUCUCGAAGAAAGUUAGGAAACGAAUUAUUAUUAUUAUUUUUUUUUUCAUAUAUAGAAACGAAAAAGAACGAUUGACUGAAACUAAACCAAAAGAAAAUUAUGUAAAAUAAAAAAAAAACUGAUUUACGAAUUCUUUAGCGCGAAUAACUGCUAAUGAUAAACAAAUUCUUAAGGGAACAGGCCGAUAAAUAUUCUUAUUAUAUACUAGCAGUAUCGCCCGGCGUUGCUCGGGUUUGUAAGGGAAAUAACUAUAUAAACAUUUUUAGAGAUGUAAAGUAUAAUAGCCAUCUCAAUAUGGCUAACCACAAAGGGGUGUGUGUUACUGUAGCUUUUUAUGUUCUGAGAUUUAAUAAUAAAUUUUUAGAGAGUUACUUCCCUUAUAUAUGCCAAAAAUGCAUUAAAAAUGGGAAAAAAUUGAUGGUAAAUUUUUUUUAAAUCGUAGACUCAUCGUAGACGCGCGCUAAUACCCAGAAGGGCUCGAUAUGAAUCACGACCAUAAGAUACCCGGUUUUGGUUACACUGCACCGCAAAAUGUGGGAGUAGUUAGGAAUCUAAAUCGCAGGAGACAGACACACAAUCUCUCUUUUAUAUAUAAAGAUUAUGAGGCGUCCUUUUGAUAUCAAACCCUGCACUUGCAAGUAGUCCUUGAAUUUGUUUGCUGUGUUUCAGCGCACCAAAUCACACACAUUUUCCACAUUUGUCUUUCCAUUCCAAAAUAUUAUGGACAUUUUUAACGACGAAAAAGAAAAAAAAAAAAAAAAAAAAUGUCCUUAUGACUCUUUGAGUUGAUCAUUGACACCGACCACUUAUAUAUUGCUUCGAAGUGAGUCCUUACUCAUUCCUAGAGAUGGAACAUCGUUCAUCUGCUUGCUACGAGUUGACUUCAGCGUUACUUAUUUCUUUUCAGUUUGCACACUAUUUUUUUUAUUAUAAGCUUCGUUCCACAACACACAUGAACAUAUACAAUACAAACACACACGCACACACGCACACACACACGCAUACAUUAUAUAUACGAUUUCCGUCUACCAAAUCCACUCACAAUGUUUUGGUUGGCCCGAGGUUAUCUAAAAGAUUUUAAAUACCAAUCGGCCGCAGAACCCGAGGUACACUAAGGAGUCCACGAUAUAAAUUUAAAUAUAUCAGCCAGAAAAUUCCGCGAUGUACUGAGGCGAGAUAGGUGAGCCACGACAAGGAAUUACUGUAGUAAUAGGUAUAUAUAUCAUAUUCAUGUAUUUGUAUGGUGAUAGAUAUAAUAAUCAUAUAUAUAUGUGACUGCGUGUGUAUCGUUGGCGAUUUUCUUUCUCCGUCUUCCCUUCUUUGGAAUUGUUCUAUAUUUCUGACAAAGAGCAGCGCUCGAAGCGUUAAAUCCUCUUUUCUUUCCUUUCCUGAGCGUCCAAUAACGCUGUACUUGUUCCACAUCCUUGCGUUGUUGUUUCUUCUUGCUUGUUCAUGUCUGGAUUAACUAUAUAUAUAUAUAUAUAUAUAUAUAUGUGUGUGUGUGUGUGUGUGUGUGUGUGUGUGUGUAUGUAUGUAUGUAUGUAUUAUAUAUAUAUAUAUAUAUAUAUAUAUAUAUAUAUAUGUAUAUAUAUAUAUAUCUAUAUAUCUACACGCUUUUGUUAUGUAUAGUGAACGCUUUGAAUAUUGUGUAUAAGAAAGGCUUAGCUAGACUAUAUCGACAUAGAUAUUAAUCUAAACGUAUAUCUGAUCAUACACCAUUGAAAUUCGUUUCAUACUUACUUAAUUACUUUUUAAUGUUGCUUUGUUACUAUUGAUAUAUUUAUGCCUCCAUUGCUUUACCUGUUGCUGUUGUGCCAUCGGUCAUUUGCCUUAUCUGUAAUUUGGACCUUUUUUUAAGCAUAAAUUUGUUCUGGUGUACGUCACCUGACAUCUUUUCAUUGUUUUUACUUUACUUGAACAAGCGUAUUUGACCGUAUUUUCCUCUGGGCUGAAGGAGUACGUCGUAUUAUUGAUCAAUUUAUAUUUGAUAUUGUUUUGUCUGAUGUUAUUUAAGAUCCAAUAUUUAUAUACAUACUAUUUAAUAGAUACUAUUCCACCUAGGUCGACAUUACCUCUCAUCCUUUCUGGGUCGAUAAAAUCAUUACCUGUUGAGUACUGAUCUCAAUGUUAUCGACUUAGCCCUACCCACAAAAUUGUUAGGUUGGCAUGCUUUUUGGAAAUAGUGCUUUGUUAUAUGGUUAUAAAUACUAUUCUGUAGUAUUGUUGGUAAAUUGUUGGUUUGGUGCCAAAAUUUGAAACCAAUAUUUUAUAUAUACUGUUGAUUGCAUUAUUCAGACGACUAGAAUGUAUAUAAUGUUGUUAGUCGACUGAUAAAGAUUCUCUGGUUUUUGUUUCUUGUUACUUGAGGCGUAUCCUACGACUGGUGUUUAUACGCAACAAUUUAUAUUUGGACGUUGUUUCCUUGAGAUUGGAUUUAAAGUUUAGAUGUGGCAAAUUUACUAUCGUAGAUAUGUUUGAAUGGUAAUGUUGAGGGCAGCGAAUUGGUAGAAUCGUAAGCACGCCUGGCAAAAUGCUUAGCGGUAUUUCGUCUGCCGUUACGUUCUGAAUUUAAAUUCCGUCGAGGUCGACUUUGCCUUUCAUCCUUUCGAGGUCAAUUGGAUAAGUACCAGUAACGCACUGGGGUCGAUAUAAUCAACUUAAUCCGUUUGUCUGUUCUUGUUUGUCCCCUCUGUGUUUAGCCCCUUGUGGGCAAUAAAGAAAUAAGUAUUUCGUCUGCCGUUGCGUUCUGAGUUCAAAUUCCGCCGAGGUUGACUUUGCCUUUCAUCCUUUAGGGGUCGAUUAAAUAAGUACCAGUUACGUACUGGGUCGAUGUAAUCGACUUAAUCCGUUUGUCCUUGUUUGUCUCCUCUAUGUUUAACCCCCUGUGGGCAAUAAAGAAAUAAAUAUUGUUUAACCCCCUGUGGGCAAUAAAGAAAUAAAUAUUGAGGUUGAAUUACUUGUAGACAUUUAUUCGUUUUUUUCUAAAUGUGCUUCGAAUAUAUGUUCAUCCAUUUUUGGGAGAUUGCUUGUCUGUCCUUUUGGUCAUUUAAAAGGCCCUCUUCUGUCAGCAGACUUUCCGUUUGUAAUUACUCGAAUUUUAUUCGAUAUCCUUCCUCGUUAUUUCACAGGUGUCCUCGAAUAACCAAUUUCUCUUAAUGUUACACGGGUCUAUAAUUUCUCCGUGUUCCAGGCAAGACUACACCCAGUUUUGAAGACCAUACUCUGAAUUCUAAGGUUUAAAAAAAAGAUGGAUUACUUCUUAGUCAUUGCCGCUUCCACGUCCUCUCUGGCCCGGUUUGGUAAUGCCUAUCAAAAGCCGAAGUUAUGGGUUAAAUAGUAGAAGGUAGUCCCGUAAUUCGGGCACAUGGGACUGAAAGUGCGGGUUCAUAGACAAGUGUUACAAGGCAAAAUGAUAUGUAGAUGUACCUUGAUGUGACAUGAACCAGUGUCCCUGUCUCGAGGGGAACAGGUCCUGUACCUCAAAGCUCGGGACAGCUAGAUUCUAAGAGAAUAAACUGUAAAUAAAAUUGUAAAAUGUUACGAGUAACCACUGUAGUAUCUUUUCCAAGAAAAAAAAGCCCAUAAAUGUUCAGCCCUUGGGAUGGAGACCCAUGAUGAUCAACGUCUGUACACAUGAUAGAUGAAGAAGAAGAUGAUGUCAUCUCGACAUUUAUAAUGACUUUCAGUUUGUACGCUGACAUAGGUAUUAGUUCUGUCAUGCUUUUUCACGAAGAGUGGCUGUAUGGUAAGUAGCUUGUUUACGAACUACAUGGUUCCGGGUUCAGUCCCACUAUGUGGCAACUUGGGCAAGUGUCUUCUACUAUAGCCUCGGGCCGAGCAAAGCCUUGUGAGUGGAUUUGGUAGACGGAAACUGAAAGAAGCCCGUCGUAUAUAUAUAUAUAUAUAUAUAUAUAUAUAUAUAUAUAUAUAUAUAUAUAUAUAUAUAUAUAUAUGUAUGUAUGUAUUUGUGUGUCUGUGUUUGUCUCCCCAACAUCGCUUGACAACCGAUGUUUACGUGCCCGUAACUUAGCGGUUCGGCAAAAGAGACCGAUAGAAUAAGUACUAGGCUUACAAAGAGUAAGUCCUAGGGGGGGGGCGAUGUGCUCGACUAAAGACGGUGCUCCAGCAUGUCCACUGUCAAAUGACUGAAACAAGUAAAAGAGUAAAAGAGUUAAAGAGAAGAAUUUCAAAACGAUAACUAAAAGACUGUUGUUUUCAAGUACUAUACAGAAACAUAUAUCUGUUGUCCUAUCAAGUGAGUCUGCAAUCUGACUUCGAUCUGGCUGAUUUAAUCGCCGCAUCACUGUAACUGGUAGAAAUGAUUAGCAGCAAUACGUGUAACUGAGACCUCAUUGCGUUGACUCUUAUUGUUCUUCGUUGCUUUUAUAUCAACACUAGUUACAUAGUCAUGUUUACAUUUACGAAUUGUAGACUGAGGAAGUGUUGUGUUCAGGUAAGUACCAACAAUUGAGAACGAUAGUAAUUCCUGUGAGUUGCUCAGGUAAAUGAAUAUGGUCUUGGUUAUGAAGUAACCGAUAAAAUAAUGUCUUUUGUCUUACUCAUGAAGCAGUAAUUACUAUCAUUGUUUUAUAAUGAGUUUGGGUAGCUCAAAGUCUUACGUUCAUGUGAAGUGAGUAUCAACAUGUGAAUUAAUUUGUUACGGUUUAAUUUUAUUGAUGGAACUUUUAUACUCAAUAAAAUCUGUCGACAAUCAAAAUGGAAGUGGGUCCUUUACUCAUUCUUAGAGAAGGAACAUCGUUCAUCUGGUUGCUAAUAGUUGACUUCACCGUAACUCAUCUCUAUUCAGUUUGCUCACUAUUUUUAUUAUAAGCUUCAUUCCACAACACGCAUUCACUCAUACAAUACACACAAACACCCACACACACAUAUAUAUAUAUAUAUAUAUAUGUACAUACAUAUAUCUGCAUGUAUGUAUGUAUAUCUAUCUAUCUAUCUAUCUAUCUAUCUAUCUAUAGUGAUCGAACCCCCCCCUUUUUACCCCCAAAAGAAAAGCUCUACAUUGUAAUUUGUCCCCUCUGUGUGCUGCCCUGUGUGGCUAAUAAAGAAACAUAUCUAUAGAUAAAUAGAUAGAUAAAUAGAUAAAUAGAUAGAUAGAAAGAUAGAUUAGAUACAUACAUAUAUAUAUAUAUAUAUAUAAUCAUAUGCAUGUAUAUGUGUGGUGAUAGAUAUAAUUAUUCAUUCAUAUAUAUAUGUAUAUAUAUAUAUGAAUGAAUAAUUAUAUAUUAUUAAUCGUGUAGAUAUAUAUAUAUAUAUAUAUAUAUAUAUAUAUAUAUAUAUAUAUAUAUAUCUACACGCUUUUGUUAUGUAUAGUGAACGCUUUGAAUAUUGUGUAUAAAAAAAGCUUAGCUCGUCUAUAACGACAUAGAUAUUAAUCUAAACGUAUAUCUGAUCAUACAGAAUUGAAAUUCGUCUCAUACUUAAUUACUUUUUAAUGUUACUUUGUUAGCAUUGAUAUAUUUAUGCCUCCAUUGCUUUACCUGCUGCUGUUGUGCCAUCGGUCAAUCACCUUAUUUGUAAUCUAAUCUGGACCUAUUUUUAAGCAUAAAUUUAUUCUGGUGUAUGUCACCUGACAUCUUUUCACUUUUUACUUCAUUGAACAAGCAUAUUUGGCCGCAUUUCGUUCGGACCCAAAGGAGUACUUCUUAUUAUUAAUCAGUUUAUAUUUGAUAUUGUUUUGUCGGAUGUGAAGUAUAUAUAAAAAUGCAAAGUAAACUGUUAUGGUUUAAUUAUCUGUCGAAAUCAAAUGUUGAUCUUUUAUGUCAAAAAAUGUAGGCUCUAUUUUUACACGGGGUACGAAAGAAAUUACAGACUUUAAAAAAAAUUUUAGCGUCUGGCAAAUAUAGAGCCAGUAAGGAGACAAAUAUUUAUGUUCCGACAUCCCCUUUAAUUCGAGUGUAUAUAUAUAUAUAUAUAUGUGUGUGUGUGUGUGUGUGUAUAUAUAUAUAUGUGUGUGUGUGUGUAUAUGUAUAUAUAUAUAUAUAUAUAUAUAUAUAUAUAUAUGUAGGUCCCGGGUUGAGUCGGGGUUAACCACAGUAAAUAAGGUACUCAAUACAUAGCAGAGUAAAUUAAUUUAUUAUAUAGAAGGAGCUUCUACAGGACUAGAACUGUUUCAUUCAAAAGAAAUCAUCAGGAAGCUUCCUGAUGAUUUCUUUUGAAUGAAACAGUUCUAGUCCUGUAGAAGCUCCUUCUAUAUAAUAAUAAAAAAAAAUAUAUAUAUAUAUAUAUGUAUACAUAUAUAUGUAUAUAUAUAUAUAUAUAUAUAUAUAUAUAUAUAUAUGUAUACAUAUAUAUAUCUAAAUAUAUGUGUGUGUGCAUGUGCACGUACGCAUAUACAUACGUAUAUGUAUAUAUAUAUAUAUAUAUAUGUAUAUUUAUAUAUAUGUAUAUAUAUAUAUAUGUAUAUUUAUAUAUAUAUGUAUAUAUAUAUAUAUAUAUAUAUAUAUAUAUAUAUAUAUAUAUAAAAAUACAUAUAUAUAUAAAUAUAUAUAUAUAUAUAUAUAUACAUAUACAUAUGCAUAUUUUGGAUACAUGUAUCUGCUUCUCUGUGUAUGUAUUUAUGUAUGCAUGAUUGUUGUGUCUGUGUGCGGCUGACAAGUAGUUGUGUGUGCGCGCGCGUAUCUAAGAAAGAAAGACAGGGAGAGAAAUGGAAAAAAGAGGGAGAGGGAGAGAGAGUGAGAGAAAGAGUAAGAGUGAGAGAGAGAGUAAAUUAGAUAAAUAUCUUCGAUGACUUGGAAAUAAUAUAGAUUUCUCAUACUGCAAUAGUAAACAUUAAUAAGAACCUGUUUUCUGGCGGCGCUAUUUGACCAGACUGUCACUAAGUGGUCUAGAAACUCGGCCAAUCAAUGCCUUAUAGAUAUAUUGGCCAGGAAUUAAGCAGAUGUUAGCUAUUUGGUAUUAUAAAUAUAGGCAAACAGUUUGCUAGGAUUAAAACACCAUUCUAGCAGAUAUGCCUUUACUUUAAACAUGAAAAGACGGCGUGCAAGGAGGCCAACCGUUCUGUAAAUCUGUGAUCAAUACUGUUGUUGUUGCUGUUGUUGAUGAUGAUGAUGAUUAUGAUGAUGAUGAUGAUGAUGACGAUUAUGUCGGCGAUGGCAACUGCAACAACGAUGCUGAUGGUAAUGACUAGAAGUUGGCAGCAACGACGACCUCGAUAAAGGCGGCGAUCUGGCAGAAACGUUAGCACGCCGGGCGAAAUGCUUAGCGGUAUUUCACCUGUCGCAACAUUCUGAGUUCAAAUUCCGCUGAGAUGUCGAGUUCACCUUUCAUCCUUUCAGAUUUGAUAAAAUAAGUAUCAGUUGCGUACUGAAGUCAAAGUAAUCGACUAGCCCACUUAUUAUUAUCAUUGUUAUUAAGAGGGGCCUGUUCUCCUUUAUUUGUCUCAAUGAGCGAUACAUACAUACACAUAUAUUAAGUAUACAUGUUUAUACACAUAUAUACACAAACUGGCAGUAUCGCCCGGCGUUGCUCGGGUCUGUAAGGGAAAUAACUACAUAAGCAUUUUUUAGAGAGUUACUUCCCUUAUAUAAACCGAGCAAAAAAUGCGAAAGAAUGAUAGUAAUUUUUUUUAUAAUCGUAGACUCAUCGUAGACGCGUACUAAUGCCCAGAAGGGCUCGAUAUGAAUCACGACUAUAAGAUACCCGGUUUUGGUUAAACUGCACCGCAAAAUGUGGGAGUAGUUAGGAAUCUAAAUCGGAGGAGACAGACUCUCACACACACAACUUCAGUUUUAUAUAUUAAAAUAUAUAUGCAUACAUACAUGCACAUAUAUACUUACUUCUAUAUGUAUAUAAAUACAUAUAUAUGUAAUUUAAAUAAUUUGGGAAAACGAAUUUCCAAAUCAAUCAGGUACAACCCUUCUGCAUUCUAUGCAUCUGCAUAUCGUACCUUGGGGUCUUUGUCAUAUAUUUAUACAUUUAUCUAAAAAUAUACAAAGUACCUAACAAAAGUAGAGGAAUUUAUCUGUAAAUGUAAUAUGUGACAAUUAUUCGGUAGCCAUUGGCCGGAUAACUGAAGAGAUGGCGGCGUGGAUUCCCACCUCGGCAUCCGAAACUCGGAGUUUUAUCAUGGCUACCGAAUAAUUGUUAUAUAUAUAUAUAUAUAUAUAUAUAUAUAUAUAUAUAUAUAUAUAUAUAUAUAUAUGUGUGUGUGUGUGUGUGUGUGUGUGUGUAUGUGUGUGUGUGUGUGUAUGUGUGUGUGUGUGUGUGUACGUAUGUAUUAUUGUCCCUACUUAUUCAAUAAACAUCUUGUAUUGGUAUAUUCAAUUGUGAUAUGCCUUUCAUAUCUCUCUAUUGCUCUAUUAUAGCUGUUUAUGUCCGUCACGUAAAUAUUUGGGUUUAGCUCAAAUUCGGAUUAAAUCUAUCAACUCAAAUCUAAAGAGAAUCGAUGAUAGAGAAUCACGAUUAUAAAUUCCACAUUUCACAAAGAACAAUUCAGUUACGUAUCGACGUAUCGAUAUAUAAAACAGAAAAUUAUAUGAUAUUGUAUGAUCGAUUCUCUUUCGUCUCAAGUUGAUAGAUUAAUCCGAAUUUUGAGUUUAGCUUAUAUUUGUGUGUAUAUAUAUAUAUAUAUAUAUAUAUAUAUAUAUAUAUAUAUAUAUAUAUAUAUACAUAUAUAUAUAUAUAUAUAUGAGGCGGAAAGACGAAUAGCUACACAAGAAAAGCAUCGAAGACAUAGUGGAAUUUAAUAUACUAAUCUAAAAUUUUCUUUGAAUCAGCGGCGAUGGUAAUUGAACGUGAGAAUAGGGAAAUGUGCAGAAAGCUACAUUGAGACAAACAACAUUAUUACAAUUUACAACAUAAUAUUGCAAUAUAUACGGACAAAUAGCAUAGAGAAAAAACACUGAGGAAUAAAAGAUUAAUAAAACAGAAAGAAAUACAGAGAAAACAAUUGUACAAUAAACGAACAAGAAACUGAGAAUAUCAUAUUUAGCGAAACGAUUACAAAACUGUUUCGUAUUGACAAUGAAAAAAUAGGAACACGGGGAAAUUGAUUGGCAAAGGUAAAAAUAAUGUUUCAAAUAGUAGAAAUAAAACUGAAGAAUAUGGAACAUCCAGUUCUUAUUCAAUAUAUGGUUCUAUUUGUAUUGAAUGGAUCCAUUCACUUAUGUGUUCCGAGAGAAUAUAUUUUCGGUUAAACAAAUUUUAAGCGUGUUUUGUAUCCUGAAAUCAUUUGUAAUAUUUGGCGUAACAAUUAGGAAUAAUGACAGAAAUAAGCGCGAUGCACACACACAUACAUACACACACACACAUGCACACACACACACACACACAUAUAUACACAUAAACACAUACACACACAUACGCAUACUUUCUCUCUCUCACUCACUUUAUAUAUGUAUAUGGCUGUGUGGUAAGUAGCUUGCUAACCAACCACAUAGUUCCGGGUUCAAUCCCACUGCGUGGCAUCUUGGGCAAGUGUCUUCUGCUAUAGCCUCGGGCCGACCAAUGCCUUGUGAGUGGAUUUGGUAGACGGAAACUGAAAGAAGCCUGUCGUAUAUAUAUAUAUAUAUAUGUGUGUGUGUGUGUGUGUCUGUGUUUGUUCCCCUAGCAUUGCUUGACAACCGAUGCUGGUGUGUUUACGUCCCCGUCACCUAGCGGUUCGGCAAAAAGAGACCGAUAGAAUAAGUACUGGGCUUACAAAGAAUAAGUCCCGGGGUCGAUUUGCUCGACUAAAGGCGGUGCUCCAGCAUAGCCGCAGUCAAAUGACUGAAACAAGUAAAAGAGUAAAAGAGUAUAUAUAUACAGAGAGAGAAAGCGACAUGAAGGGAGUGAUAGAGAGAGAGAGAAAGAGAGAGAGAGAGUUUUCUACACAGCUCUGUCUUCAAAUUCGGUUACAAGCCUUUGUUCGGCCUGGGGUCAAAGAAGAGCUCACUUGCCCAAAGUGCCACAUGGUUGCAAGGCAAGGUUCAUAAUUACUCAGCCAUGCCGGAGUACCACCUAUAAGGUGCGGUCCUUAUUCUUAAGACAAAAAUGUUCAAGCCAAAAUCAACCCGAGAUCCUUAAUACAUAGAAAAAAAAAUCACACUACAAUCUAUGUUUGUUUGUAAUUUGGACCUAUGUUUAAACAUGAAUUUAUUCUGGUGUAUAUCACCUGACAAUCCCUCAUUUUUUACUGCAGUUGAACAAGCAUAUCUGGGCGUAUUUUCCUCUGUGCUGAAGGAUUACGUCUUAUUAUUGACCAGUUUAUAUUUAAUAUUGUUUUGUCAGAUGUUAUUUAAGAUCCAAUAUUUAAUACAUACUAUUCCACCGAGGUCGGCUAUGCAUAUCAUCCUUUCUGGAUCGAUAAAAUAAGUACCAGUUGAGUACUGAUGUCAAUGUAAUCAGCUUACCCCUACUCACAAAAUUUUUGGUUUGGUAUCCUGUUUGGAAAUAUUGCUUUGUUAUAUGGUCAUAAAUACUACCUUGUAGCUAUAAUUUAUCACUAUUGUUCACUCUGGUGUUGUUACUGUAGUAAUAAACCGGUGGAUUCCCAAGCAGCAUUUAUAUCUUUAACGCUAUGGUCACCCUUGGAUUGAAGGGUGUCGAAAUCAUAAUGAUAUCCGAGUGGCUGAUGAUGAUGUGAAUACACGUUAAGCACAAUUUCGAAUUUCUUAUAUCUUAGUCUCAUUAUUCUCGGGUUUUUUCAUUGCUGUAAAGUGGAAAAUUUUUGUGGAUUCAUAGUUUGUGGGGAUCGUCCAUUUUUUGUAUUUCCUCGUUUACUUCGUGGGUAAUCUAAUUAGGACUGGACAAUGCUUGGUUAUUUAUGUCUAAUUUGUGGGCGGUUCUGUUGCAUUUAUUCGAGAAAAAGAACAUCGGAAGGAAUAAUUUUGCUCGUGUGUGCAUGUGCAUGCGUGCAUGUGUGUGAGUGUAUAUGAGUGUGUUUGUGUGUGUGUGUGCUUCUUGGAGUGCAUGUAUAUGUAUGCAUUAGUGCAUACAUAUAUAUCUUUUAUCAAUGUGUAUAUACACAUAUAUAUAUAGAUAUGUAAGCAUAUAUAUAUAUAAUACAAAAUGGGACAAGAACGCAAAACAUCCGGACAACGAGGUGAUACAAAAAGGGACAACAAAACAUCCAGAUAGACAAUACAAAAAACAAGGACGGGUCAUUUAAGCUUUCUAUCCUCAGUCAGUGACCGGAUCAUCGCAAUUUCGGCUGAUUAUUCUUGGGAUUGCUCCAAUCCGGCCAGCCCCAAGGAAGAACUAAGCUAAGAGCAUUAGAUUCCUUGGAAGAAAGCAUCGAAUGUAUACGAAAACAAGGACGGAAAAACAGACGAUGUUACACAAAUAUAAAUACAAAAUACAAUAAUAAUAAUAAUAAUAAUAAUAAUAAUAAUAAUAAUAAUAAUAAUAAUAAUAAUAAUGAUAAUAAUAAUAAUAAUAAUAUAUAUAUAUAUAUAUAUAUAUAUAUAUAUACAUUGCGUAUAUAUGUCUACUAGUAUAUAUAUAUAUAUAUAACGGGAAGCUUUAUGAAAAUAAACAAAAGACGAAGGCAGGUGGAAUACAAACAAACAAUUGUAUUAGUAUGGCGCUCAGGAAUAUAAAUAAAACAAGUCUUUUACGUUUCGAGCCUACGCUCUUCAACAGAAAGAUACACAGAAAAGAAACACAGAAAGAAACAAGGAGAGAAAAAAAUGCGUGCAGAGGCUAGCGAAUCUCUCUCUAUAUAUAUAUACUAUAUAUAUAUAUAUGUGUGUGUGUGUAUAUACACACAUAAAGAGGGAGAGAAAGAGAGACAAUAUAAAUGGAAGUAUUGUUUUUCUAUAUUUACCUAUAUGCAUAUGUACGUCGUGUGUGUGUGUGUGUGUGUGUGUUUGUGCGCGCAUGUGUGUGUUUCUUAUUGCUGAAUUCGAUGUUUUGUUGACGUUGGUGGCGUUACUAAUGUCGUUAGAUGCGUCUACGGUGUCGAUUAAUUAUUUUUUUCUUCUGUGGCUGAUGCAAACCACCAUACUAUCAAUGAACGGUUUUAAACAUUGCAUUCUUAGGAGUGGACACUAUCGUAUAGAAACAGGAGAAACUAAUCGAUAAAAGAUAAACUAAUCAAUUAAAUAACGAUUCUUGUUUCCACUUUCAUUCGCAAUUACUGUUAUCUAUUGUUUGUCAAUGAGAGACGAUGCACUAGUUACUUCCAGUGAUGUCCCAUCGUUGAUUCGUAAAUGAAGAAACCUCUACCAACCCGCCCGUGUUUCUAGAAAUAGCAGUUAAAACACGUUAGUAUCACACGUUAAAACGGCCACAUUAGAUAAAGCAGUACUAUACAUAGCUAAAAAAAAGUCGGGACUGUCGUAGCUAUUGCGUUUUUGAUAACAUCCUGUAGGAAUAUGCCUAGACAGGCGGCGAGCUGGCAGAAAUGUUAGCACGCCGGGCGAAAUGCUUAGAGGUAUUUCGUCUGCCGCUACGUUCUGAGUUCAGAUUCCGCCGAGGUCGACUUUGCUUUUCAUCCUUUCGGUGUUGAUUAAAUAAGUACCAGUUACGCACUGGGGUCGAUAUAAUCGACUUAAUCCGUUUGUCUGUCCUUGUUUGUCCUCUCUUGUUUUACCUCCAGCGUGGUAACGAUUCCACCAUCUCGCUGCCUCGUUUCGGGAUCAAUCCUAUGGCGCGGCAACUUGAUCAAGUGUUUUCUACUCUUGCCUACUGUGGAUCAAUGCCUUGUGAGUGUAUUUGAUUAGCGGAAACUGUGUGGAAGCCCGUCAGCCUGUCAUAUACAUACAUACAUAGAUAUAUGUGAGUGUAUAUCUGAGUCUUUGUGUCAGUAUUUGUCACACCCUAGCCAUCGCUUGACAACCGAUGUUGUUUUGCUUACGUCCGUGUAACUCACCGACUCGGCAAAGUACUGAAGUCGAUUUGUUUGGCAAAAACGCUCCAAGGCGGUGCCCCAGCUUGGCCACAGUCCAAUAACUGAAACAAGUAAAAGACAGGCGAUAAAAGACGCAGCAGCCACAACGAUAACGAAAGACAAUAAUUUCAAUACUAUAACAUCAAUAAUAAAAAUAAACAACAACAAAAAAACUUACUAGCUCUAUUGAUUUAAGCGUUAAAGUGUCAAUUAUGUUCAGGUAUUUUAGCAAUUAAACAUCGCACGUUCAUUAUAUAAAGCUAGUUUACCAAUUAAGCGUUUAAAACGUUCAUUAUAUGAAGGUAUUUUAAGCAAUUUACGCAAUUAUCGAACGAAUUUAGCUAUCUUUAAAUGGCUGGUUUAGUAAGCUAAUAACGAAAUAAAAACAGGACGGAACAUAAAAGGAUUUGAAAAAGAAAUUUCAUUACAUAGAAGAAUGUAUUGAAAUCUCUAAAUUCUAUAAUAAUAAUAAUAAUAAUAAUAAUAAUAAUAAUAAUAAUAAUAAUAAUAAUAAUAAUAAUAAUAAUAAUAAUAAUAAUAAUAAUAAUAAUAAUAAUGAUAAUAAUAAUAAUAAUAAUAAUAAUAAUAAUAAUAAUAAUAAUAAUAAUAAUAAUAAUAAUAAUAAUAAUAAUGAUAAUAAUAUAUUCUUUCCAUUGCUGCGUUUACUAGUUCUCAUUCUUAUCCUUUGAAACUGAAGGUUUGAGUUUUAUUUCGAGCUGUACCCCUUAUUUGUGUUUGCUUGAUCUAAAUACUGUUCAACAAGGGUGGCGAGCCGGCAGAAUCGUUAGCACGCCGGGCACAAUGCUUAGCGGUAUUUCGUCUGUCUUUCCGUUCUGAGUUCAAACUCCGCCGGGGUCGACUUUGCCUUUCAUCCUUUCGCGGUCGAUUAAAUUUUGUACCAGUUUUGUACUGGAGUCGAUCUAAUCGACUUAAUCAUUUUGUCUGUCCUUAUUUGUCCCCUCUCCGAUCGAAGAAAUAAAAACACUGUUCAACAACGUUUGACUCUCCCUAGGCGGCGACCUGGCAGAAUUGUUAGCAUGCAGGGCAAAAUGCUUAGCGGCAUUUCGUCCGUCUCUAUGUUCUGAGUUCAAAUUCUGCCGAAGGCUUUCAUCCUUUCUGAGUCGAUAAAAUAAGUACCGGUUGUGAACUGAGGUCGAUGUAAUCGACUUACCCCCGUACCUCAAAAUUACUGGCCUUGUAUCUAUAAUAGAAAAACAUAAUUUUGUGCGCGUAUGUAGAUAUAUAUCUAUGUGUGCACAUGCGCAAGCACACAAUACGCUUCAUCUCAUCUCAUACAUAUAUACGUUACAUACAUAUACGUUACAUACAUACAUGUAUACAUACAUAUAUUCAUACAUAUGUAUGUAUAUGUAUGUGUGUGUAUAUAUAUAUAUAUAUAUAUAUAUAUAUAUAUAUAUAUAUAUAUAUAUAUAUAUAUCAGAGCAAGACAGAAACAAGGAAAAUGCCACUUAUAUUUGAACACUAUACAAAUAUUCCUUUAAAAAGACAUUUCUUUUAAUUUUUCUAAAUUUAAUUAUUUAAUCGUUACAGUUGAAAAGGUCUCAAAAUGACAGAAACCGGUACUGAAAUGUUCUUUAUAAAAUUAUUUUAGCAUUUUCUAUUUCGACUUAUUUUUUCAUAUGAAUAUAUAUAUAUAUACAUAUCCAUAUCUAUCUAUCUAUCUAUCUAUCUAUCUAUCUAUCUAUCUAUCUAUCUAUCUUUCUAUCUAUCUAUCUAUCUAUCUAUACAUAUAUAUGUAUGUAUAUAUAUAUAUAUAUAUAUAUAUAUAUAUAUAUAUAUAUAUAUAUAUAUCACCGUGAUCACCGCCAUCAGAUGUUGCUACACAUCGCUGGGCACGAUGCGCUUCGCAUUGUUUUAGCCUUCAAAUGACGCCACCUCGCUGGCUAAGCGAGCAGGCCAAUAUAUAUAUAUAUCAUAUUGUCGCAAGACAAAGAUAUAUUUAUAUUUUAUUAACACACUGACUUAACCCACCGCCCUAUAUAUGUAUAUAUACGUAUGCGUGCGAGUGUGUGUGCGUGUAUGUGUGUGUGUGUGUGUUUGAAUGUUAAAACGAAUUAAGGUAUAUUAAAUAACAUACAAGAUAAAUUUUCACUUUACUUAAAUUAUCACGCUUACAGAGAGACGACACCAAUCGUGUAAUGCUGACUCCAGAUGAAACAGGGGGAGAUAAUCUCAUGAGUGAAAUAUUCUCCCAAAUACACGAGCAAUUAUGGAAAAUUCUCUAUAAUUAUCUGAAGAGAAGAGGAUAAGAUAUAUACUCAUAUAUACGUUUGUUUUAUAUAAAUAUAUAUGUUAUACAUAAUAUAUAUAUAUCUAUAACUAUAUCUAUGUAUAUAUACAUAUAUAUAUAUAUACAUAUAUUAUGUAUAGGGGCAGCGUGACGGUGUAGUAAGAAGCUUGCUUACCAACUACAUGACCAAAGCCCUGUGAGUGUAUUUGGUAGACGGAAACUGAAAGAAGCCCGUCGUAUAUAUAUAUAUAUAUAUAUAUAUACGGUAAAAUUCGGUCCUUUUCCAUACCGGAAAACUACUUGGUGAAAUUUGUUGAUUUUAUUAAAUUAACUACAUUUCACCCUUUAUCUGUAUAUAUAUAUAUAUAUAUAAGUAUAUGUAUAUGUUUUGUGUGUCUGUGUUUGUCCCUUCAUCGCUUGACAUCAGAUGUUGGUAUUUUCAUGUCCCUCGUAACCUAGAGGUCCGGCAAAAGAGGAUAGCAUAUAUACUCGGCUUACAAAGAAUAAGUUCUGGGUCAAUUUGUCUGAUUAAAGGUGGUGCUCCAGCAUGGCCUCAGUCAAAUGACUGAAACAAGCAAAAGAAUAUAUAUAUAUAUAUAUAUGAUCUCACACGCACACUGUUGUCUUUUGUUACGGCCACACUGAUCAGCUACUCAGAUAGUGACGGGUCUAAGGGCCUGAUUUUUAUAGGGCCCAUUGCAAUGAUAUCCCCGGGGAGCUGGAGUUAGCGCACACAUACACACAAACACACACACACGCUCUGCGUCCACGUAUGUAUAUAUAUUCCAAAGUGCCUAAGAGACCUGUUGGUUGUUGGGCCAGUUCACUGUUUAGCCUAGAGUGACUUGGGAUACAUGAACAUAAAUGUGUUCAUCUUAUUAUGUUCCUUCUCAAGCCAUGCCUGGCUCAUAAGGGCCGGUUUCCCGGUUUCUUGGCGUAUAGGUUCCCCACCUGGACGGGACGCCGGUCCGUCGCAGGUGAGCUGCAAGAGGAAAAUUGUGGCGAAAGACUCAGCAGAAGUUCGCCAUUACCUUCUGCUGGAGCCGCGUGGAGCUUAGGUGUUU
rnacentral:lncRNA from 1 species